rnacentral:lncRNA from 1 species
CCAACUGAUCAAAUAAACAGCAUAACUAUGAAACCAAAUCAGAAAGGAAAACGCAAACACAAAGUAGAAUUAAAAAUUCAUAUUUAAAAAAGACAAGGAACAGGAACGGAAGAGAAAACUUAAGACCUCUCUCUCUCACGAAAGCAUAGCAUAAAACAACCACAAAGUAACUUACAGACCAUAUCAAUAAAUUUCAAUGACAUACCAAAGCAGCGAUUUCCAAACAUGAAAGCCAUAAAACAAAAAAACACAAGUAGAUCAGCAUAAAUCUUAAAUUAAAACAGAAAAAGCAGAAGACAAUGCUGAAGUAAAGAUCCGUACACGAUAAUUAAAAAACCAUGACGCGGAACAACAAAAAUACAACAGAGGGAAACAUAGAAUUCAAAAAUAAAAAACAUAAAACGAGUUUAGUUUAGUGACAAAAACCCACAGAAAAGUAUCUAUAUUUGCUGAAAACCAAAAUCCCGGACAAAUAAAACCUAAUGGACCAGUUUAAUAUACAGUUCUACAUUUUAAU